rnacentral:rRNA from 1 species
GAUGAACGCUGGCGGCGUGCCUAAUACAUGCAAGUCGAGCGAACGGACGAGAAGCUUGCUUCUCUGAUGUUUGCGGCGGACGGGUGAGUAACACGUGGAUAACCUACCUAUAAGACUGGGAUAACUUCGGGAAACCGGAGCUAAUACCGGAUAAUAUUUUGAACCGCAUGGUUCAAAAGUGAAAGGCGGUCUUGCUGUCACUUAUAGAUGGAUCCGCGCUGCAUUAGCUAGUUGGUAAGGUAACGGCUUACCAAGGCAACGAUGCAUAGCCGACCUGAGAGGGUGAUCGGCCACACUGGAACUGAGACACGGUCCAGACUCCUACGGGAGGCAGCAGUAGGGAAUCUUCCGCAAUGGGCGAAAGCCUGACGGAGCAACGCCGCGUGAGUGAUGAAGGUCUUCGGAUCGUAAAACUCUGUUAUUAGGGAAGAACAUAUGUGUAAGUAACUGUGCACAUCUUGACGGUACCUAAUCAGAAAGCCACGGCUAACUACGUG